rnacentral:ribozyme from 1 species
AGAAAGCAAAAGAGCAUUCAUUUUCUCUCUUUAACUUCUUUUUUCCCUUUCUUUUCUUCUUCUUCUUCAGUCAAAAUGAAUGCUUUUCCACCAAAAACAGUGUUAAUUAAUGACCCCAAAAAGAGAACGCAAAGCUCUUAAAGAGAGGAAAGAGGAAA